GACGUAGGGCGCGAGCGUUGUCCGGAUUUAUUGGGCGUAAAGAGCUCGUAGGCGGUUUGUCGCGUCGUCUGUGAAAACCCACGGCUCAACUGUGGGCUUGCAGUCGAUACGGGCAGGCUAGAGUUCGGUAGGGGAGACUGGAAUUCCCGGUGUAGCGGUGGAAUGCGUAGAGAUCGGGAAGAACAUCAGUGGCGAAGGCGGCCUGCUGGGCUGUUGCUGACGCUGAGGCGCGACAGCGUGGGGAGCAAACAGG
rnacentral:rRNA from 1 species